rnacentral:rRNA from 1 species
UACGUAGGGGGCAAGCGUUGUCCGGAAUCAUUGGGCGUAAAGAGCGUGUAGGCGGCCCGGUAAGUCCGCCGUGAAAGUCCAGGGCUCAACCCUGGAAUGCCGGUGGAAACUGUCGGGCUGGAGUCCGGAAGAGGCGAGUGGAAUUCCUGGUGUAGCGGUGAAAUGCGCAGAUAUCAGGAGGAACACCAAUGGCGAAGGCAGCUCGCUGGGACGGUACUGACGCUGAGACGCGAAAGCGUGGGGAGCAAACAGG